rnacentral:rRNA from 1 species
AUUGAACGCUGGCGGAAUGCUUUACACAUGCAAGUCGAACGGUAGAGGGGGCAACCCUUGAGAGUGGCGAACGGGUGAGUAAUAUAUCGGAACGUGCCCAGUCGUGGGGGAUAACGUAGCGAAAGUUACGCUAAUACCGCAUACGAUCUAAGGAUGAAAGCGGGGGACCGUAAGGCCUCGCGCGAUUGGAGCGGCCGAUGUCAGAUUAGGUAGUUGGUGGGGUAAAGGCUCACCAAGCCGACGAUCUGUAGCUGGUCUGAGAGGACGACCAGCCACACUGGGACUGAGACACGGCCCAGACUCCUACGGGAGGCAGCAGUGGGGAAUUUUGGACAAUGGGCGCAAGCCUGAUCCAGCAAUGCCGCGUGCAGGAAGAAGGCCUUCGGGUUGUAAACUGCUUUUGUACGGAACGAAACGGUCCUGGUUAAUACCCGGGGCUAAUGACGGUACCGUAAGAAUAAGCACCGGCUAACUACGUG